GAUGAACGCUGGCGGCGUGCUUAACACAUGCAAGUCGAACGGGAAUUAUUUUAUUGAAACUUCGGUCGAUUUAAUUUAAUUCUAGUGGCGGACGGGUGAGUAACGCGUGGGUAACCUGCCUUAUACAGGGGGAUAACAGUCAGAAAUGGCUGCUAAUACCGCAUAAGCGCACAGAGCUGCAUGGCUCAGUGUGAACAACUCCGGUGGUAUAAGAUGGACCCGCGUUGGAUUAGCUGGUUGGUGGGGUAACGGCCCACCAAGGCGACGAUCCAUAGCCGGCCAGAGAGGGUGAACGGACACAUUGGGACUGAGACACGGCCCAGACUCCUACGGGAAGCAGGAGUGGGGAAUAUUGCAAAAUGGGGGAAACCCUGAUGCAGCGACGCCGCGUGAAGGAAGAAGUAUCUCGGUAUGUAAACUUCUAUAAGCAGGGAAGAUAGUGACGGUACCUGACGAAGAAGCCCCGGCUAACUACGUG
rnacentral:rRNA from 1 species